CUCGCGGGUAUAAGAUUUUCAGAAAAAAAAUAAAAAUUUAUUUUUCAUAACAAAUUUUAUUAAUUACCUUUAGUAGUUGUUACUUUAUCAUAUGGUACAAAAAUCAUUCAAAAAAAAAAUUAAUUUGUGUUGGCCCCAGGUGACUUUUAAAAUGUAGAUAUCAUUGAAAAAGCUCCAAAUUUUCUCCCUUUGGUGCAAAAAUGCCAUUUUU
rnacentral:lncRNA from 1 species